GGAGUAAAAGUCGUAACAAGGUUUCCGUAGGUGAACCUGCGGAAGGAUCAUUCAUAAUAAGUGUUUUACUGCACUUUUUAAAAAUAGUACUCACCUUGUGUGCAAUGUUGUGUUUCUUUUCGGAGAAACACCUACACCAACCUAUAACCUUGAACCACUUUGUCUGAAAAACUACUAUGAAUACUUAAUUCAAAAUACAACUUUCAACAACGGAUCUCUUGGCUCUC
rnacentral:misc_RNA from 1 species